AGAAAUCUUCAGGGCAGGGUUCGUUUCCCUACCGGUGGUAUAGCCCACGAGCCGCAAGGCAUGAUUCGGUGUAACUCCGAAGCCGACAGUAAAGUCUGGAUGGAAGAAGAUAAUU
rfam:Lactonifactor longoviformis DSM 17459 genome assembly, contig: EJ64DRAFT_scaffold00014.14